rnacentral:rRNA from 1 species
AACGAACGCUGGCGGCAUGCCUAACACAUGCAAGUCGAACGAAGUCUUCGGACUUAGUGGCGCACGGGUGCGUAACGCGUGGGAAUCUGCCCUUGGGUACGGAAUAACUCAGAGAAAUUUGUGCUAAUACCGUAUAAUGUCUUCGGACCAAAGAUUUAUCGCCCAAGGAUGAGCCCGCGUAAGAUUAGCUAGUUGGUGGGGUAAAAGCCUACCAAGGCGACGAUCUUUAGCUGGUCUGAGAGGAUGAUCAGCCACACUGGGACUGAGACACGGCCCAGACUCCUACGGGAGGCAGCAGUGGGGAAUAUUGGACAAUGGGCGAAAGCCUGAUCCAGCAAUGCCGCGUGAGUGAUGAAGGCCCUAGGGUUGUAAAGCUCUUUUACCAGGGAUGAUAAUGACAGUACCUGGAGAAUAAGCUCCGGCUAACUCCGCG